rnacentral:rRNA from 1 species
UACGUAGGUGGCAAGCGUUGUCCGGAUUUACUGGGCGUAAAGGGCGCGUAGGCGGGAAAGUAAGUCAGGUGUGAAAUCUAUGGGCUCAACCCAUAAACUGCACUUGAAACUGUUUUUCUUGAGUGUCGGAGAGGUAGAUGGAAUUCCUAGUGUAGCGGUGAAAUGCGUAGAUAUUAGGAGGAACACCAGUGGCGAAGGCGAUCUACUGGAUGAUAACUGACGCUGAGACGCGAAAGUGUGGGGAGCAAACAGG